rnacentral:rRNA from 1 species
UACAGAGGGGGCAAGCGUUAUUCGGAAUUAUUGGGCGUAAAGGGUGCGUAGGCGGGCUUGUAAGUCAGUGGUGAAAGCCCGGGGCUUAACUCCGGAACUGCCGUUGAUACUGCAAGUCUUGAGUACACUUGAGGUGGGCGGAAUACAUCAUGUAGUGGUGAAAUACUUAGAUAUGAUGUAGAACACCGAUUGCGAAGGCAGCUCACUAAAUUGUAACUGACGCUGAGGCACGAAAGCGUGGGGAUCAAACAGG